GCGAGAAACCUUAGCAAUGUGCGAAAGCACGACUGGGUCAGUCCGAGUGAUUCCUGAUAAAGGAGUCUUUUGCUUGUCCUAAAAGCACAGGUGAAUAAGGGGUGGGCAAGUCUGGUGU
rnacentral:rRNA from 1 species